UUUUUCUUUUCUUUUCUUUUUUUUAGUAGACGGGGUUUCACCAUGUUGGUCAGGCUGGUCUCGAACUCCUGACCUCAGGUGAUCCACCCGCGUCAGCCUCCAAAAGUGCUGGGAUUACAGGCGCAUGAGCCAUGGCUCCUGGCCAGCUUUUAACAUUUUUGAUUGGAAAGGGCCAGCUUUAGUCUUAGCAGAGCAGCAAACCAAAUGUUGAAGAAUAGGAACUGUCAAAUGUCAGCCUCAAGGCAACAUACCAAAGAUAAGUAUUUAGUAAAUUAUUAGCCUAGAACCUAGAACCCAAAAUCUACCAUCUCCUUAACAAUGCCCUAUCUGACCAUCUUCAAGAAAGUUCACCCAAAAUUAUGUCUUUCACAUAAAUAAAUUUCUUAUGCCACUACUAUUGGCUAAAAUCUUUUGAUAGGGAGGAAUUACUCCUGACACACCCUCUAGCUUUUCCUUUACAGGACUUUUAUGUUUUGAAGAACUCAUUAAAUCACUAAAUUUACUCACCUUUUGUGAACUAGGAAGAAUGCAAAGUUAUUUGUCUAUAACCAACUAAUGGGAUAGUGUGUGUGUGUGUGUGUGUGUGUGUGUGUGUGUGUGUGUUUUAACAGAUAAUUUCGCUCUAUUUUCUCCCCAGAAAGGGCCAGGAGGAAUAGAUGAUUUAACUUUUUAUAUUAUAAUAUCAAAAACAUCCUUAAAAGACAACGAAAAGAUGUUUAGAAAAUUCAUAUUCAUUAAACUAUCUUUCUGACUUGUAUCUUCAACUUCAGAGAGGAAAACAGGGACCCACACUCUCAAACUGGAGAGCGCAUUUAGAAUUACACAAACUAUCCUACUAUGACUCAGGAAUGGAUUGUGUUCUGGCUUACUGUGUGGUGACAAGGCCACAUCUGUCAAAAGCAAAGCAAACAAUAUGAUUGCUUUUUAAAUUGUAUUUUUUCUAGGUUAAAAAAAAAUUACCACAAAACCAAACCAAACCAAACAAAAAUGGCAGCUGUCUAAAUAAGCAGAAGGCAUCAGUUUAUUCACUGCUACCACAAAAUUUGGAGAAGCAAUUUGGUUUAGAGGAUCACUUACUUACACCCUUGAAGCUACAAAGUAAGUUACUCAAUUUUAAUCUGGCUUGAAAAAAUGUAUUAUUUGCAAAAUUCAAAAACAUUCUUUCCAGCUUUACCUCAAAUUCACUGUAAACUUCAACGACUGUCAUUCUAAUUACCUCACUCCAAAAGUUUGGCAGGUACAUAUAUCAAAUACAGAAUGUGAACAUGUGUGCAUGGGUGACCUUAUAUCCCCAUAUAACUUACUUAUAUCUCGGACUAUGGGCAACAGGUAUCAGCUCCUCAUCUCUAGGUUCCAACAAUAAAGGAAGGCACUUUGGCUAUCUGGUUCUCCCAUGUACGUACACUGGGCACACAGCAGUUUGUGCACUGGGCAUAUACAGAAGGCACUCAACAAAUGAGUGAAACUGACCAAAGUCAUAAAAAGCUGAAUGUUUUAAAUUUUUAAAAAGACAAUACAGAAACAAUUAUUAAACUCACUGAAUUUUCAUUUAAAGUCAAACAUGAAUAAAUGCAUUUGUUCUGGGGCACACGUUAUACCUUGUGUCAUAGCACACAUAUGCUAAGCUAUAGUCUUGACAGUGCAGAGAAGAUCCUAUAAAUUGUUGGACACUGCAAUGCUCCCCAAGUAGGAAAAUACACCAAGAGGAUGAGCCUAACCCAGAGUUUUAUGUGUAUUAAGGAGCCUGGACUUGCACAUUGCUCUUUCCCAACCCUAUUUCCACAGAGGAUAGCAUUCAAGAGUUUGACUUACUUUCCCAGAACGCUACAGUUUUUAAGCUUGAUGUAUGAUAAACUUACAUCUUAAAAGUCCUGUAAGUAGUUAACUUCUAGUUCCAGAACUAUCAUUGCUGAUUUAACUUGCUUUAAAAAUGUAUGAUUCUAGGGUGGGCAUGGUGGCUUGACUGUAAUCCUAGCACUUUGAGAGGCCAAGGCAGGAGGAUCGCUUUGUAACUAGUUCAAAAACCAGCCUGGGCAACAAAGCGAGAGCAUCUCCACAAAAAACAAGAGUUGGCCAGGUGUGGGUGGUGGUGGUAUGCACCUGUAAUCUCAACUACUUCGAAGUCUGAGGCGGGAGGAUUGCUUAAGCCCAGGAGUUUGAGACUGCAAUGAGCUAU
ensembl:lncRNA